AUUGAACGCCGGCGGCAUGCCUUACACAUGCAAGUCGAACGGCAGCACGGGUGCUUGCACCUGGUGGCGAGUGGCGAACGGGUGAGUAAUACAUCGGAACGUACCUUAUCGUGGGGGAUAACGCAGCGAAAGUUGCGCUAAUACCGCAUACGCCCUGAGGGGGAAAGCGGGGGAACGUAAGGCCUCGCGCGAUUAGCGCGGCCGUUGUCUGAUUAGCUUGUUGGUGAGGUAAAAGCUCACCAAGGCGAUGAUCAGUAGCUGGUCUGAGAGGACGGUCAGCCACACUGGGACGGAGGCGCGGCUCAGACUCCUACGGGGGGCAGCAGUGGGGAAGUUUGGAUAAUGGGGGCAACCCGGAGCCAGAAAUGCCGCGUGAGUGAAGAAGGCCUUCGGGUUGUAAAGCUCUUUUGUCAGGGAAGAAGCAGCAGCUCUAACACAGUCUGCGAAUGACGGUACCUGAAGAAUAAGCACCGGCUAACUACGUGCCAGCCGCCGCAGUAA
rnacentral:rRNA from 1 species